rnacentral:rRNA from 1 species
AUUAUACCGUGAAACUGCGAAUGGCUCAUUAAAUCAGUUAUCGUUUAUUUGAUAGUACCUUACUACUUGGAUAACCGUGGUAAUUCUAGAGCUAAUACAUGCUGAAAACCCCAACUUCGGAAGGGGUGUAUUUAUUAGAUAAAAAACCAACGCCCUUCGGGGCUUCUUGGUGAUUCAUAAUAACUUUACGGAUCGCAUGGCCUUGCGCCGGCGACGGUUCAUUCAAAUUUCUGCCCUAUCAACUUUCGAUGGUAAGGUAUUGGCUUACCAUGGUUUCAACGGGUAACGGGGAAUUAGGGUUCGAUUCCGGAGAGGGAGCCUGAGAAACGGCUACCACAUCCAAGGAAGGCAGCAGGCGCGCAAAUUACCCAAUCCCGACACGGGGAGGUAGUGACAAUAAAUACUGAUACAGGGCUCUUUUGGGUCUUGUAAUUGGAAUGAGUACAAUUUAAACCUCUUAACGAGGAACAAUUGGAGGGCAAGUCUGGUGCCAGCAGCCGCGGUAAUUCCAGCUCCAAUAGCGUAUAUUAAAGUUGUUGCAGUUAAAAAGCUCGUAGUUGAAACUUGGGUCUGGCUGGCAGGUCCGCCUCACCGCGUGUACUUGUCCGGCCGGGCCUUCCUUCUGGAGAACCUCAUGCCCUUCACUGGGCGUGUUGGGGNACCAGGACUUUUACUUUGAAAAAAUUAGAGUGUUCAAAGCAGGCCUUUGCUCGAAUACGUUAGCAUGGAAUAAUAGAAUAGGACGUGCGUUCCUAUUUUGUUGGUUUCUAGGAACGCCGUAAUGAUUAAUAGGGACAGUCGGGGGCAUCAGUAUUCAAUUGUCAGAGGUGAAAUUCUUGGAUUUAUUGAAGACUAACUACUGCGAAAGCAUUUGCCAAGGAUGUUUUCAUUAAUCAGUGAACGAAAGUUAGGGGAUCGAAGACGAUCAGAUACCGUCGUAGUCUUAACCGUAAACUAUGCCGACUAGGGAUCGGGCGAUGUUCUUUUUCUGACUCGCUCGGCACCUUACGAGAAAUCAAAGUUUUUGGGNUCUGGGGGGAGUAUGGUCGCAAGGCUGAAACU